GUGCUCGCUUCAGCAGCACAUAUACUAAAAUUGGAACAAUACAGAGAUUAGCACAGCCCCUGUGCAAGGAUGACACACAAAUUCAUGAAGCGUUCCAUUUAAAA
rnacentral:snRNA from 1 species